AAGAGAGAUACAAAAUUUGGAUGCUAUGAAAGGAAGAGGAAAAAAGUUGAAAAUUGAACCAGAACACUGCUCACACCAUUGUUCAGGCAAUUCCAUCUGGUAUGAGAUACCAUGGAAGGCUACCAAAUGUAAUCAUGAUUCCUAUACUGGAGUAUUCCCCAUUGCAAUGCAUAAAUACCUGAUUGGUAGGAGUAAACAAGUCAGAGACAGACUCUUCUCAGUGGUGCUCACUGACAGGAUGAGAAGGAACAAACUGAAGUAUGGGAUAUGCAACUUAGACUUAAGGAAACACUUCUUUUUUUUGUGAGGGUGGCCAAGCACUAAAACAGGGUUUCCAGAGAGGUUGUGGAGUAUCCAUCCUCAAAGAUAUUGAAAAAAAACCCCUGGGUAUGGUCCUGAUCAAUCUGCUCUAGCCUACCCUGCCAACCUCAACUAUCCUGCAAUUCUCUGACUGUAAACAAAUUCAAAUGCAGCAGUACAAAUUGGGUGGGUUAUGUUCCAUUUGGCCUCACAUUAUGCACGUUCCUGAUUCCUGUGAUGUAGAAAAUUCUGUAUCUUUUCACAGGCAUGCCAGAUUUUUGCUUAUCAAUAUUCAUUUUGUGUUGUUUAGAUAGCUGUCUGAUUUUAUUGUUACCUAAUGUAGGGGAAAGCUUACAUGUUGAUUUAUUCUGUUACUUUGGUUCUGAUGCCUUUUCCUGGUAUUAAAAAAUUGAGAGCCAGACACGGUUAAGGGAUAAGGGUUUUUUAGGUCGGUAUUUUAAUAAGGAUCCUUACUGGUGCACCACUUUGCCAAGGUGGAAUGUGUCACAAUGCACCCACUCAAUAGAUCGCAUAUACAAUUUAUAGACCUUACAAAUUUGCAUAUCUAACAAGGAUGCCCCAAUGGGAGGCCUGGAUGAAUGGUGUGAUAUUCCCCCAUUUGAGGAAUUCCCCCCUGGAUGGGCCAAAUCUCUAGUUUACAGGAUAUGUUCUAGAGAGGACCUUGGUUUCCCAAGAUAGUGUAGGGUUUUCCAGCCUCCUACUAUGAGGCCUUUAGGAUGUUUGGUCUCCUGGCCUAACAAAAUACUAGAGCUAUGCUAAGUUAUCAGACUUAAGGAAUUACAAGGAUGCAUGCUAAGAAUACUGAGGAUAUAUAAAAGGUAUAUAAAAGAAAAGGCAGAAAAUCAUCUUGGCAUCAUUUCCCCCCUUUUAGAGACUAACAAGACUCUACUUUGUCUAGUCUCUACAUUACCUGCAGUACCAGUUUACACAACCAGCCGACCCACAGGCUAUUACACAGAUUAUAACUAUAAUUGCAGAUAUUAUAAAUGUUUCUUUUAUCCAGAUACAGUUUGGUAAUCAUGAGGUGAGGGUGUGGAAGAUAUGGUCAAAUUUCAAGGUGUCAUUUCUGGAAGCCACUUCAUGUAAAAUUUGAGUCCCCUUCCAAAUUUCAUCCACAUCCUUCUUAACUCUCCCACUUUUGUCCACAUAAGAACAAGUGGUAUUGACAAUAGCACAUACACUUCCCUGUGUGGCAAGUAUGAAAUUGAGAGCUAUCCUGUUCUGCAUAACUGCAUGGGACAGACUGCCAACUUACUCCUGUAAGGCUGAAAUUGCAUCUGCAGAAUGCUGCUCAAUACGUUCAACGACGGCUGAGAUGUUUAUAAUUGCUCUCUCCAGUUCAAUCACUCCGUAAGAGGUAAGGAAAGCUCUGACUAUACUAUGGAAAAGUGUGGGACAUUUAAUGAGGGGAUUAAGAGAUCUUUUCUUCCUCCCAUUUUGUUUUUCAAGAUGGUCAAAUACUGUUAUAUUUGGGACUACAGCCCCAAGGGCACAAGCCUGAUCUUUAUUCACGGGCAGGACUUUCCAGGCCUUAUCAUCACAUAUAGUUCCCACCUUCUAUCAGGCCACUCAGGGGUAUAGGGGCCUGAAGAGUACUAUUAAUUGGAUCCUACCUUUCUAUUCUUUGGGUUCUUUUACUGGGCCUUUAAUUCUGUUGAUAUGAGUCCACUCUUGCUCUGCAGUUCACACAGCCAAUUCAGUGAUUAGCAGUACCUGAAAGAGGCCUCCCCACUGAGGGGUUAAACUGAAGACAAUGCACAGAGCACUGCCUCAUAUGUUUCAUUAUUUGAAAGGGUAAUUGAGUUUUAAAUUUGUUACUUACUACUGCUGACACAAGAGAACUGCAUGGUCUAGGAAGCAUUACAAUCACAGAGAGGUUUAGCACUUGGCCUAGCAUCCUGUUUUGAUGGAAGCAGUUUUUAGGGAAUGUGGGUUACUCUUGUUUAUAGGGAUUUAAUGGAAACUAAAACACUAUUAAAUUUCAUGGAAAUCACUGUACACAACUUUAUGUAAAGCUUUUGGCAAACUUAUAUGUAGAGGCAAAUUCUUCUCCCUACAAGAACAGAGUGUACACAGAGAACCAGGGGCCACUCUAGCCAGCAGAGCUAGGUAGUUACACACACACACACACACACACGUCUGUUUUUCUAGGUGGGACAGCAGCUGGAUGCACAGAGCCAUGUAUCCAGAGCCAUAGAGCCAUGUCCCUGGGCAUGCCCAGCCUGUGUGUGCACACAGGGACAUAUACAGAACUAGUGCACAUACACACAGGUUCUUGCUCACUUGCACAGAGCUCCUGUGCUCAACGGUACUUGCUAGCAGUACAUGCUUGUGUGUACCUGACUUACCACACCAGCGCACGUGCUACACAGACAUUAACACAUGCAUGUCUCACACAGAGCCAUGUUCACACUUGUAAACAGCAGUGUACACAUCAUGUGUACACAUCAGCACAUCUAUGUGGACAGCGCUGUGCACACCAGCACACAUGUACACUGUGCAAAGAGCAGGACAUGCACACUCACAUCUGGGCACACUAGAAAACACAUGUGCACACAGAGCCGUGCACACUGGCACACAUGUGCACAGCACUCUCUUAGAGCUCUCCUGGCCCCGACGCCCCUCUGGGUCUCUCCUCGUGGGAUCAUGACACGGUUGGAAUGGAGACAUUCUGGCACAAUUUAAGGAGCACUCUCUGUGCUUUUGGGGUGGGAACAGACAGGCCUGUCUUAAAGGAAAGGUCAAAGAGAGACUACACUGGAUUCUUGCUUCAUGCCUUUACUGUACAAGGGCAAAACAGCACUUUUUGCUGUCCUGUUUUCCCAGGAGCUUGACUAGCACAAUGGAGACUAUUAGAAUGAUCUAUUGAGGAUCACUGCUAGUGCAUAGCACACAUGGCAUUUUUCACCCCUUACAUUAUCAUGGGAUGUUGGGGUAUGAACUAACAACAGCCUUACCCCACUGUCUUAGAAGCUCGUGUUUUGUCAAGGGGCAUCUUUUACUUUUUAACGGAGAUGGGGUACUUGUGGCCUUUAUUACUGUGGAGGGUAGCUCACAGUCCCCUGGGGAUAAGGUAAGGAAAGCUCCAGGCCUCUCUGCAGGGGCGACAGUGACUUUGAAACAAAUUUUUUACAGAAAGACGGAAAGGCAUCUAUGUUAUGCAUGGAAAUUUGAGUGGAAAACAGAUGUAAUUUCUAAUAAAUAAUUCUUAUCAGCGUAAGGUCUCCCAUUUUCCAAAGAAGUUUUGGUUCAGUGAGACAGAAAAUCACUUCCUGAUGUACAGCUGUCAGUGCUGACUUAAUGUGUACCUUUACAUGGUAUAUAUUUAGUUUUCUACAGCAGUGCUAGAUAUUCUAUGAGCAUUUGAAUCCUUGCAGUGCAACAAAGCUUGUGAGACUCAGCUGUCAGAGGGCAGCCACAGGCAGGAAGGCAGCUAUACCUGGUUAGCAGGAGUUUAAAUUGGAAAGAUAAAGGCAAAUUCACUUUUUAGGCAGAUAACGUCACAUCUCAUGGUCACCUUGGUUUUCUGCUGGGUAAACAUGCUGACAGCAGCCACUGCCAGUGCCAUGGGAAGAGCUGGGAUACUCCUGGCCAGGAUUGGAUGUGCUGUUUCUGAUACUGCUAAACUAUUACAUGGCUCACUUGGAGUCAGGAAACCUCUGCUAGAAACUUUUUAAUAAAAAUAACUGCAGUCAUUUUUAGGGAUCUUACCAAAAUUUCUGAGUUAACUCCCUGGCCUCACUACAUGUGUCUAUUUUAAAAUUAAACUCUUAGGUAAAAGGAUAUUAAUUUGUGGAAAAAAACUCUACAAAUUGUAAAAGUUGUAAAGCUGGUAUGAUUUAUUCCAGUGUUGGGCGCAUGUGGGAAUAGCUCUCUUUAAAGGACAUGCUUACCUCCAAAAAUUCUUGAGUCUACUUUAUUUUUUAACGUAUAUGUAUAAAAGAUAUAUGCAUAUGUAUUAAACUGUUUUAUUAAUUUUUAUGAGCCUUUGCAGUUCUUCAGUUAUGUAACUUAUAUUUAGUUUCUCUGUCUGCUUUAGUCUUAAGGUUGGUGGGGUUUCUUUUUAUUUUCUUUAGGUUGGGUGUUUGUAUUAUUUUUUAAGUAGUUUUGAAUUUCUUUUGUUCUUUUUGUAGGCUUUUUUUGUGAGUACACAAGUUAACAGACUAAACAAGUAGAUUUUAGCUAAAUCUAAAAUUGGUUUCUACUCUGAGUUAAAUUUCUGACUUCUUCUCUUUUUUUUAGACAAGGAGUAAAUUUUUUUACUUAGUAUAAAUUUUUAUGAUAAUAGAUGUCUUUUAAUGUUUUGCUAGGUAUAUUUGAUAAGGAGGUCAACACUGUUACUCAGUGUAGUGUUUUCUAACUCUAAAUUAGCACUAUAAAAGAUAACUUUAAACUUACUUUAAUAUUAAUAAAACUGUAAUGGAGUGGUGCAACUUAUUGAAAAUCUUAGUUGUAGUUGGUGACUAUUUAAAGAUUCCAUCUUACUAGGGAUGAUUUGCAUCUUGUUUUAUUUUUUGCAGAAUUCUCUUUAUUUCUUUUGUAUUAUGAUGGACUAUGUAUUGUAUUAUGAUGGUAUUAUAAUUAGAGUUUUUUUCUUUGUUUUUUUUUAUCUUUUAAAAAAAUUUAAUUAGGGUUUAGUGUCUAAUUAAUUGUUUUACUAAUGUAAGAUUUAUUCUAAUAGGAGUAGGUGAUAGCUUGUGAUAUAUUGUGUAAUUGUUUCUGAUUAGUUGGUGGGAUGUCACUGGUGCUAAAAAUGAAGAAUUACACUUGAUAAUUUUAACAAAAUUAUAAAUAUAAAAAUUAGAAUGAUUUUUUGAUCUCUUGAAGUGGCUACAGUCCCCAUUUUUGUUACUUUUGCUUCUUAUAUACUUGACUUCUAUGUAUUACUAUAGUUGAUAGGUUUAAAUGUUUUACAUUUACAUUAGAAUGCAUUCUAGUGCAAGAUUUGAGGGCUGUCAAUAAGCUAAGAUUUCUAUCCUGUAGUAGCAAAUCCGUAUACUUUACUCACUUGCUUAACACUUGAGCUAACCUGGUUUACUGUUUUAGAUCUGAAAGACGCCUUCUUUUGCCUCCCUAUCCAUGAAGCCAACCAGAAAAUUUUUGCAUUCAAAUGGGAAAGCCCUAAAAGUAGACACAAAACCGAGCUUACAUAGACAGUGUUACCUCAACACUUUAAAAACUCUCCCACUCUGUUUAGAAAACAACUUAAAAAAGACUUAGAGUCCUGAGAAGCUCUACCAGAAGAAGGAAAGCUAUUACAAUACGUAAAUGAUCUUCUAGUAGCCACUCAGAGUAGAGAGGCGUGUGUAGCCUAGACAGUAAGCCUUUUAAACUUCCUAGGACUCCAAGAGUAUAGAGUAUCGAAGAAAAAAGCACAAGUAGUGAAACAAAAGUAAUCUACCUAGGGUACAAAGUUAGUGCUAGACAAGAGACUUCAGGGCAGGCUCGCAAGAAAGCAAUAUAGCAAACCCUGAAACCCCAUACAAUAAAAGAACUCCACAACUUCUUGGGCAUAGCAGAGUGGUGCCAACUGUGGGUCUAUAACUACGAGCUACUUGUAAGACCCCUAUAUACUCUUAUUACCAAUAGAAAUAGAGAUCUCCAGUAAACAAAAGAAGACACAUGAGCCUUUCACCAGUUAAAAAGUACCCUCAUGUCACCUCCAGCUUUGGGACUUCCAGAUGUAAGUAAACCAUUCUUUCUAUUUUCCUAUAAAAAGCAGGGAAUUGCCUUAGGAAUAUUAGCCCAAGACUUGAGUCCAUAUCAGAGGGCAGUUGCUUACUUUUCUAAGCAACUAGAUGCAAUGGCCAAAGGAUAAUCAGGUUACCUCAGAGCUGUAGCAGCAGCUGUGCUGAAUAUCCAAAAAGCAUGCAAAUUUACUCUGAGACAGACAAUAACUGUACUAGUAUCCCACACAGUGUCUGCAGUACUGGAAGUAAAGGGCAGGCACUGAGUUUCAUGGCAUAAGUUCUUAAAAUACCAGGCCAUCACAGUAGAACAAGAUGAUAUAGAGAUAAUAGUAACUAAUAUUGUCAAACCAGCUUCUUUUCGCAGUAAAAAUCAAAGAGAAGCAGUACACCACGACUACCUAGAGACUAUUAAAGUGACUUACUCCAGCCACCCAGACUUAAAAGACACUCCUUUAGACAAUACAGAGACCUAGCUCACUAAUGAGAGUAGCUACGUUACCAAUAGAGAACGACACACUAAAUAUAUGGUCACUACCUACAGAAAAGUAAUAGAAUCUAGACCCUUACCAACAAGUACCUCUGCACAGAAGACCAAGAUAGUUACUCUGACCAGUGCUUUGAAAAUAGCAAAAAAAAGAGAAUAAACAUCUAUACAAACUCGAGGUAUACAUUUAGAUUUGUACACACACAGAGCCAUCUGGAGGGAGAGGGGCCUGUUGACCUCACAAGAAAAAAACAUGAAACAUGCGCAAGAAAUAAUCCGGCUGUUAAAAGCAGUUCAACUGCCUGAAAAAGUAACAAUUAUACAUAUUAAGGCACACAAGAGAGUGAGCUCAGAAUUAUGAAAUAAAAAAGAGCUAGUAGUAGAGAGGCAAAAGAAGAGGCAAAAAGUGAGAUUGCCAUUAAAGAAGGUAUAAUUCCAGAUAGCCAGAUUUCCCUUAAAAGUAAGCCAAAAUAUAAUAAGAAAGAAAACUAAUCGAAGAUCAAAAAAAGACAUAUAAUCAAAAAGAGUAAGCUACUAUUAAAGAGAAGCUAGUAAUUCCCUUCCCAUUUGUUGUAGUCACUAAUAAAAGAACACCAGAAAACACACUGAAAAAUUGACUCCCUAAACACCUAUUUAAUUAAACGAAUCAUUACCAAAAAUUUAAAUGCCACUAUUACUCAAGUAACCCAACAGUAUAAUCUUCACCUCCAAACUAAGCCCAAGAGUACCCCCCAACCAAAACUUAGUCAAAUUUAGAAGAGUCAUAGACGUAGACAACAGCAACAAAUUAACUUUUCAGAACUCCCAAGAAAAGGGGAGUAUCUGUAUUUAAAAGUAUUAACAGAUAUAUUUUCAAAGUAGCCAGAAACAUUCCCCACCAAGACUGUCAAGACUCGAGAUGUGACCAGGGUAUUAGUACAAGAAAUAAUACCAGACUUCAUUUUAGCAUUCAGGAACACAUAAUCACGAGAAAUGAUUAUAUGCAGGUGCUUUUAUUGAAGAGCUCUGGGUGUCAGGGGUACAAACCCAAAUCUGACUCCGACAUAGGUUCGGGAUGGAUAUGCUUUUAUAUUCUAUCGUUAUAUAACUUUCAUGUUAAUUAUUAAACUUAUGUUGUUCUAUAGUAUACAUAGAUUUCAGCCAAGCACAGCCACCUUAGACUAGGAACAUACAGUUUCUCAUUGUUCUUCUUAUGAUUAUACAAUAAUUAUUUUAGUUACUACUACUUACGCAGGUAAAACACGAGGCUUAACAUUUCAGAGUUUAUCUUAGCAUUUUCCAGGGCGCCACUAUCAUUCAGAGUCCCAACCACUACAAUAUCCUCUGAUAAAAAAAAUCACAUUUCAUUUCCAAAAUAGUACAACAAAUUAGCAACCAUCUAAGCAUAAAUUAAGAACUUCAUACUCUAUACCACCCCCAAUCGAGUAACCAAGUAAAAAAAAAUGAACCAUUUAAUUAAACAACAAAUUGUAAGACUAGAGCAAGAAGUUAAUUUACCCUAGCCCCAAGCUCUUCCACUAACAUUAUUACAAAUUCAAACUUAGAACCAAAAAGAAUUGAACCACCGUAAAAUACUUUAUAAAAAACUAUAUAAAAUAAAAAAAAGAGAUAUCCACACACGUCGGAUAGGUGACAUUAGCCACAUACAUAGUAGCUUUAAGCAAAUGUCCUGGUUUAGGGCAAAUUUGGGAGAGAAUCCCUAAAAAGGGCUUCUCCAGAAAGCAAACCCACACGGCCCCUCCCCCCAACCGGUUUAGGAAGGAUUCCUCAGAGAGAAGUGGAAAGAACCUGUUUAUUUAACAGGCACAGCACCCCCCAGCACACAAAAUGAACAAUACCGGAUGACACCACUCUUUCACCACUCUGAAAAAGAUGACAAAUUCAGAAAGUCUCUCCUGGGGGUGGUCUCUGUUAUCAGUCCCUCCGGCGCUGGGGCAGCUGCUCGGUGUUUCCAAAUCGGUGUUUCCAAAUCCCAGUCAGGAGCAGGUUCGGCAGGUCCAAACAGGGGAUGGAGACAGUCCAGAAAGGAAUUUGGACUGUUUAGCUAAAUUAACUAAUGAGAAGAGGGGGGAAAAAAAAGCAAGAGCAAGCAAAGCAGAAGCGAAGCAGAAGUAAGAGCAAGAGCAAAAAGCAGAACAAAAAGCAAAAAAAGCAGCACUAUGUACUGGUGCUAUCUGUAUGUCCCGCCGAGUGGCUGGUAAGAGGCCCAAACCAAAACUUUCACUCUGCCAGUCUUAAAGGCACAGAACAUAAUAUCCAGCAUAAAUUACACACAGGAAUGGGGAUAACAGUCACCCUAGGACAGUGUCAUGGAUUGAGAGGAAGUGAAGUUUUUGUGAUGGUGUGGGCAAGCCAAUCAGUGUUCAGAUUUAAUAUUGGCACCUGGUUUGUCCACUUAAGGCAGGAUACGCCUCUGAGAACACAGGGGUUAAAAGCUGUGAUCUCCCAGGGGAACUUCCUCUUGGAGUCCCACUUGAGAGUGAGCAGACCUCCCCCCUGCCCGGCCGAGCUGGGCGGGGGGGGGAGGGGAGCCAUGAGAGAGACUGCAUUCUAGGGGGAGGCAAUGGCUCAGAGCCAAGAGAGUGCGGUGAUGUCGAGGAGUGAACAGAGACGACAGGUGAGGAGGGUGGUGGUAGUGCCCUCCGCUUUGAAGAAGAGAAGAAGAAGAAUACGAUCUCUGUUCAAGAGACCCCUCGGCCCCAGGGGGUGAAAUCUGGGGGGGACAAGUGUCCCAAAAGGAGAAGGACUGUGCUCCCUUUGGAACUGGUCAAAGUAUCCUUAAAAUGAAAAACCCUAGAAGCAGCUCUGAUCCAUGUGCAGUGGUGAGAGCACUGGACAUGGAAGGCGUGUGGCGCAAGAGGGACUCCUCUCUCCUCGAGAGACUGAGAAUCGUUUGUCUGAAGGGUGGCAAUGAAAUUGGAAAUUUGGUGGGGGGAGGAGGAAGUAUUUUGGAAGGUUUUCAUCUUAUGUUCUGUUGUGUUUUGUGUGUCUUUCUUUGUAGUUGUAGGUUAAUAAAUGUUUUUUUUUUCCUUUUACCUUAA